GCUACGACUCUCGGUAGAGUGCAGAUCUGUCCUAGUACUUCAAUGCAACCUAGUAAUAAUUCUCUUCAAACUCUCAGUGCAAUGAUCGAGAUAAUGCAUGGAAGGGAUUUUGAUGUGCAUAUUUUGUACUCGAGGUUUUAGUGUAUGUUUGUCAAUAAUUUAUUUUUUCAAAUAUUGAUCAUGAGCUCACCCAAGAGAACUCACUAACUCUACCGCAUUUAAUUGACUUUUCAACACUUUAGUGUGAUUCGCGCUCGGGACUUACUGCGGUUUCGUAAAGCAUUGCUCUUGAUGGAAAUUUUCUUACCCUUCUUAACGACAUAAACACCCGACGACUCUUGAGCAUAUUUUCGAUUACUUGUUAGUGAUGGUCGGUAGUUGUUCUUCUUAUAAAAUCCACAGACUUAGAAACUAACAUAGUUAUGUGUCGUCAGUUUGUCUUAUUCCUUGGAGCUACAAGCACUUCAACAUGAUCUUACACAGAGGAAGUAUACUAUCGAGAAGAUAUAGAGCGAACUUGUUGACAGUGCAAGCAAUGUAAGUGAAAUACACGUUGCUCACUGAUAUGGUUAUUGUUGAUUGUUUGCGUUGGUUAAGACAAAUGUUCAUGCUCACAAAGGACUGUUAAAUGUUUUCUUUGAGCGCAUGUGGAUUGCUAGCAAUACGUACUUAGUGUUUUAUUUUUGGUUUAAUGAACAUUUGCAGCCAAUUCCCUUUGUGUUUGGUCAAAGCAGAGCUCUUUACAACAGGAGUUUGCCUUACCCAACCAUACAUGCCGCACCAGUGACCUGUAGGAAUAAACAGGACAAGUUUGACGUGAUUCGCACUAGCCUUAGUUCUGUUUUAAUUGGUUGCAGCUGUCUCGAAUUGAUGAUUAUGAAGGAUUGAGAACCGCAUUUCAGUAGGGACCUGACAAUGGUUGAGACUGUGUAAAGCUCAGGUGCUUUCAGUGGUUAUUUUGCAAAAAAGUGAACAGAUGUUGGGUAAAUGCAUGUGUGUGUGUGUGUGUGUGUGUGUUUAUAAGAACAGACAUACACGCACGCACGCAUACACAGAAUAUGUAGCUUUUUGCGUUGAAUUUCAGUAACAUGGCUACCCCAACAGCCGUGUUUAUUUCUCAAGUGAAACUUACAAGUAUAAGAUGCUUGAUUUUCAGCUCUGCUAAAGAGUUGAACCUUGAGCUCCUCGUGAACUUCACCUUUUGGUGGGUUGGUUUUUUUUGUAUGUUUUGCAAUUUUCUAUAAAGGUCAUAUCUUCUCCCAUCAGUAUCAAGGUUGGAACAUUCCUAAGGCUCCAUCUCGUCUUCUGACGAACUUAUUCUCGUUUCUUCCAGCAGUGAUCAGAAUUGAUAAUUUCGUAGUUGCACAAACUGGAGCAAUGAUCUUGUGGAAUUGAACUAGUUUUGUAUCCUCAGUCGGUUUUAGACAUUGAUCGUGUUGAUUGGAUCGAAAUUAAUAGAUAGUGGAACCGCCUUCACUGCUGGAGGUGUUCAAGGACCUGUUGGGAGCACCAUUGCUGACAGGCACCAUGAAUUACAUUCCUUUAUUACAACGGUAAUUCUUGUGAACCUCAACGAUUUUUGCAGAUCUUUUAUGUUACUAGCCAUCGAGUACAAAUUUUAGACUCGUGAUUCUACUAUAUUCUUGACAUGAUUGGCACAUAAUUGACUCCAAUCGGAUAUCAUAUGUUUGUACGAAACUUUUUGUUUAGAAUGCAUUGUUGACUGUUGCGUUAUACCGAUCAUAGAGAAACUCUAUCAGCUCCAUGAUUAAUUCCAUGAUCUUGAACGGAGCCCUGAGUUAUGUGUUUGCAAGUGUCUCCUUUUGUGCAAAUGUCGAUUGCGUUCUUACAACAAAACUGAGACUUUCUUUCUUGUUCAUGACACAGAUUGCUUCAUCUCUUCCAAAACUGCAUCCCACAAAACUGAUUAAUCUUUUGCAAAUGAGAGCUGAACAGAGCUCACUUGAAGCAGCCAUCAACAUAUAUGGUAAUCGUUCAUUUUAGUGGACUGUCUAUAUUGUGCGGAGACACACUUGAAUGAAAGAUUGAAAUGUGUUUUUGUUCACAUGCGUCCUCUGAAACCUGAGAGGAGCACUGAUUGGGUUGUCUGUAGUAUUGAAAACGUAUGAACUAUUUCCUCAUUAAACUGUCUGAAGGGAAGGUUUACUUGCUAUUUCAGUGAUCUCCACUAAUUUUAGAGACAUCAAUGGACAGCCUUCUGCGAGAGCCCAGCUCAAGAUUGUCUCUGGAAUGAAACAAAUGUAAUUUUUCACGACGAAUUCUACUUGUAGCAACACACGGUGCGCUGUCAUGGUAGCGACUUCAAUCGCAGGCCCUAGCCCACGGUCAUGGGUUUCUUGUCCAGAAACUAGUUUAGUUUCUUAUCUAAAUACUCCUGUUCAAAUUUUAUAUAGCAAGAAACACACUUUGGACGUGUUGGAUUUACUCUCUUGGAAUAUGGCUAUCCUUGAAAAACAGAGAAAAUCUGAUGGAAAAAUGAAUUAGAACACAAAUAGAAAAUAUCAGCAUUUACUCUUGUAAUUUUACGAGCUUUAUUUACAUUUCUUUAUUGAAUAAA
rnacentral:lncRNA from 1 species